UCAUUAUUAUCUAAUAUUUUACAUUUAUAAUAUACAAUUUCAUUUGAGUUACAAGUACCACAUACAGGUAAUUAAAUUACAAAUGCCUCAUAGUAACUAUGAUCAAAUAUGACAGCUAUGACAUAAUAAAGGUUCGCAGGAACCUACUUUAACUGCUUUUUUCCCAUUUAACAUAAAAAUAAUUUAGGAUAAUAUACAUUCAACUUCAGUUUUUUUUUUUUAUACAUCCUCUAUACUAAAACACAGAUAACAGGUAGUUUAUUAUAUCCAAUUCUGGAUGUAAUAAUAGCAUAGCUGACGGAUAUUGGAACUAAAGUAACAAACAGGUAAGUACAAACAGCCAGUUUAUUGUAUCAGGAUGUAUGCAGGACGAUUCAACGGUAAACGCCACCCCAACUUACAAAAAGAUAAAAACAAAAGGAAGUUGAAGAGCUUCGGUCUACAGCGUAACGUAACUCUCUCCAAUCUUCUUCAGUUAGAAACAAUUGAACGAAAAACAAAAAAGAUAUAAAUUAAUUGGUGAACGUUUGUAAAAAUUAUUAGUAAAAAUAAAUACUUUACAAUUCAGUAACUAAUAAAUUUAAAGUAGGGCGGCGAGUCGCAGACAUCAUCCCUUACAC